GACGAACGCUGGCGGCGUGCUUAACACAUGCAAGUCGAACGGAAAGGCCCUGCCUUUGUGGGGUGCUCGAGUGGCGAACGGGUGAGUAACACGUGAGUUACCUGCCCUUGACUUUGGGAUAACUUCAGGAAACUGGGUCUAAUACCGGAUAGGAGCUCCUGCUGUAUGGUGGGGGCUGGAUAGUUUCGGUGGUUGGGGAUGGACUCGCGGUUUAUCAGCUUGUUGGUGGGGUAGUGGCUUACCAAGGCGUUGAAGGGUAGCCGGUCUGAGAGGGUGAGGGGCCACAUUGGGACUGAGAUGCGGCACAGACCCCUGCGGGAGGGAGGGGUGGAGUAUAGUACACAAGGGGCGGAAGCCUGGUGCAGCAACGCCGUGUGGGGGAAGAGGGCCUGGGGUUUGUAAUCCGCUUUCGCCUGAGCCGAAGCGUGAGUGACGGUAAUGGGUGAAGAAGCACCGGCUAACUACGUG
rnacentral:rRNA from 1 species